rnacentral:rRNA from 1 species
CAGUCGCCGCGGUAUACGAAGGUCCCGAGCGUUGUUCGGAAUCACUGGGCGUAAAGGGAGCGUAGGCGGCGUGGUAAGUCAGAUGUGAAAUCCCGGGGCCCAACCCCGGAACUGCAUCCGAUACUGCCAUGCUAGAGGAUUGGAGAGGUAGCUGGAAUUCUUGGUGUAGCAGUGAAAUGCGUGGAGAUCAAGAGGAACACUCGUGGCGAAAGCGAGCUACUGGACAAUAACUGACGCUGAGGCUCGAAGGCCAGGGUAGCGAAAGGGAUUAGAUACCCCGGUAGUCCCUGUCUCUUAUACA